UCCCAUGCUAUGCAUACGAAGUAUUGUGCAUUAUAUCAACAUAUACUCGAGAAUAGUUAUCCAGCUAAACAUGUAUGUCAAAAUUAUCACAUUUUCUGGUUUUAAAUCAACAAUUCUGACGGAUUUUGUGCAAGGACAGCUUCGCGUUCCGUUUCGCUUUGGCCGAUGCUUGCCGGAAGUACACUUAUUUACCGGAAGUUGUCGUCUCCUCCGCAGGCCCUUCGAUCUUCGACUACGUGCGCGGCUCGACACAAAUGAAAAACAAUAAAAAGAAAAAAAGAAAAAUAGGAGCCGAAUUUAAGACCUCAGUGUCGUACCGACCCGAGGUAAUAACAAAAACACCUAAGCGUUAAGCUCUUAGACGUGGAUCGUGCUAAAUUUUGUAAAAUGUUUGAGGAAAUAAAUGAAUUUUGAAACUGCAAUCUUGUGCGGACUUUUCGCCUGCAUAGCCCCCGCGACCCUCCCGCGCGACCCGCCAGCCUGAUUAGUGUACACAUAUUUUGUACGUUAAUAUAUGCAUGCACCCGCAAAGCCACGCGCCUGUUUUUAAGGCAUACCGAUAUAGAUCCCGAUGGCGGUCGAGAAUUGUAUUUAUAUGAAACGAUAUCAAUGUCAAUUUCAUUCCGUUUCAACUCAUCAAAAAUUGUAUCCAUGUUAUCCACUGAUACCCUCACGACAACAAUUGAACAGCAAAUGAGACACCCAGUAUUUAUUUCAGUGAAUAUAUGCAAAUUUACAUUAAUUAACUAGCAACGUAUUAUUAUUACAAGAGGUC